rnacentral:rRNA from 1 species
UACGUAGGGUGCGAGCGUUAAUCGGAAUUACUGGGCGUAAAGGGUGCGCAGGCGGUUUUGUAAGCCAGAUGUGAAAUCCCCGGGCUCAACCUGGGAAUGGCAUUUGGGACUGCAAGGCUAGAGUGUGGCAGAGGAGACUGGAAUUCCUGGUGUAGCGGUGAAAUGCGCAGAUAUCAGGAGGAACACCGGUGGCGAAGGCAAUCCCCUGGGCCUGCACUGACGCUCAUGCACGAAAGCGUGGGGAGCAAACAGG